rnacentral:rRNA from 1 species
CGUGAUAAGCUGCGAAAAGCUUCGGGGAGGAGCAAAUAUCCAUUGAUCCGGAGAUAUCCGAAUGGGGAAACCCACUUGAGCAAACCUCAAGUAUCCAUACGCCAAUCCAUAACGUAUGGAAGGGAACCGGGGGAACUGAAACAUCUAAGUACCCCGAGGAAGAGAAAUCAACCGAGAUUGCGCGAGUAGCGGCGAGCGAAAGCGCACCAGCCCAAACCCGGGCGCGUGUAAGCGGCAGGCGUUGCCGCCCGGGGGUUGCGGGACUCGCGUCCAGGUGCUGCCCACCUGGGAGCGGUUACAAAUCCACAUGGUAGCGGAACGGCAUGGAAGGGCCGGCCGCAGCGGGUGAGAGCCCCGUACGCGAAACCAUGCGGACCGCUGACGAGUAUCCCGAGUAGGGCCGGGCACGUGAAACCCGGUCCGAAGCCGGGGGGACCACCCUCCAAGGCUGAACACUCUCCUGUGACCGAUAGCGAACCAGUACCGUGAGGGAAAGGUGAAAAGCACCCCGAGAGGGGAGUGAAACAGUACCUGAAACCGUGCGCCCACAAGCAGUCGGAGCAGCCUUUGCGCUGUGACGGCGUGCCUUUUGUAGAAUGAGCCAGCGAGUUGCGGUGUGCGGCGAGGUUAAGUUUGGAAACGAGCCGCAGCGAAAGCGAGCCUUUAAGAUGGCGAGUGAGUCGCACGCUGCAGACGCGAAGCCGGGUGAGCUAUCCUGGGGCAGGCUGAAGCGGGGGUAAGACCCCGUGGAGGGCCGAACCCACUUCGGUUGAAAACGGAGGGGAUGACCCGUGGAUAGGGGUGAAAGGCCAAUCAAAUUCCGUGAUAGCUGGUUCUCUCCGAAAUGCAUUUAGGUGCAGCGUCGGUCGAUUGCGUCGCGGGGGUAGAGCUACCGGAUGCUUGCGGGCCCUUGUUGGGUACCAACAGCAGCCGAACUCCGAAUACCGUUGACGUGUAUUCCGGCAGUGAGUCGGCGGGGGAUAAGCUCCGUCGUCGAGAGGGAGACAGCCCAGACCGUCGUCUAAGGUCCCGAAGCGUGUGCUAAGUGGGAAAGGAUGUGGAGUCGCAUAGACAGCCAGGAGGUUGGCUCAGAAGCAGCCAUCCUUGAAAGAGUGCGUAACAGCUCACUGGUCUAGUGGUUCCGCGCCGACAAUGUAGCGGGGCUCAAGCACACCACCGAAGACGCGGCAGCAAUCUUCAUGGUUGCUGGGUAGGAGAGCGUCCUGCGAGGGGCGAAGCGGCGGUGGAAACCGGCCGUGGACUUCGUGGGAGUGAGAAUGCAGACAUGAGUAGCGAGAGACGGGUGAGGAUCCCGUCCGCUGGAUGACCAAGGGUUCCGGGGCCACGUUCGUCGUCCCCGGGUGAGUCGGGUCCUAAGGCGAGGCCGACAGGCGUAGUCGAAUGGAUGAACGGGUGGAUAUUCCCGUACCGACCAUGGACCGGCAAAACCGAGACGGUGAGUACUAACCUCCGCCUCGUGGUGGUUCCUUCCUUCGGGUUGGUAUCGCCGCGUGGUGUUGGGACUGUAGCCGCAGUAGGUCAGCGCAGGGGUGACACGGAAUGGGAGCCGGCCGCGGAGGUGGUUUUCCGUGGUCAAGCACGCAGCCAGUCAUGUAGGCAAAUCCGCAUGGCAUGCAUGGCGAGGUGUGAUGAUGGGAGCCGUUAUGGUUCGAUAUCCGGUUGUCCAGGCCGUCGAGAAAAGCCUCGGCGUGAGGGCCAUGGCCGCCCGUACCCCAAACCGACACUGGUGGUCAGGUAGAGAAUACCAAGGCGAUCGAGCGAAUCCUGGUCAAGGAACUCGGCAAAUCACUCCCGUGCCUUCGGUAUAAGGGAGACCCACUGGGGUGAAGGACCUUGCGUCCGGAGCUUUGGUGGGUGGCACAGACCAGGGGGUAGCGACUGUUUACCAAAAACACAGGUGCAUGCGAAGGCGAAAGCCGCUGUAUAUGCACUGACGCCUGCCCGGUGCCGGAAGGUUAAGAGGAUCCGUCAAUCCCUUCGGGGACGAAGCGGUGAAUUCAAGCCCCGGUAAACGGCGGUGGUAACUAUAACCAUCCUAAGGUAGCGAAAUUCCUUGUCGGGUAAGUUCCGACCUGCACGAAUGGCGUA